GAGGCACCGGCCCGGUGAGAGCCCCUGGGACUGAGGAGCGGGUCUGGGGCUCACGGGCUGGAGGAGUGUGGGGCUUGGAGGCUGAAGAGCCGACGUGGUGCAACGAGGCCUCAGGCCUCAGGCCUCAGCCUGAUGGGUCAGCUCCAGUGGGGGUGGUUCUGACAGGUUCUGUCAGUUACCCUCAGGUUCCCUCAGCUCCCCAGAGAUCAGGCGGUUGCAUCAGCUGAAGACAGUUCUACACGUUCCCUCCUCCCUCCCACCCUCUGCAGGUCCCUGUUGAGUCGGGACCCGGUUCCCCCCACUCCCAGAUCCCCGCACCAGGCACCCCUAUCUCCCCCACCUCCUCACCUUUCCCUCCUUGUUCGCCUGUCCCGCCCCCCUCCCCGGCCCCGCACCGCGCCGUGCGCCCACCUGUGGGCCAGAGCAGCUAGGAUCCCAGCGAGUCCUGCUCCGGCCGCCCAGCUCGCCGGAGGCCGGCAGC